rnacentral:lncRNA from 1 species
AAAAAGCGACAACCCUAGCGCUUCAUCGCCUCACCCUUUAAGCUCGCUUUUUUAAACCAAGAUAAUAAUAAAAACAAGAAUAGAUGAAAUGUAUUUCAAAUAGGGUCUAUGUAGGUGAAUAAGUACUUUUAGUUUCUCCUUACAUGAUCAGUUUUCUUGUAGUUGCCAGUUGGUAUGGAACUAAUUAUAAUUACUUUAUUCAACAAUAACAAAAUCCAGUAAUCGUUUUGAUACCACCCAUCCAAACACCCCCUGAUAAUAGCUUGUCGUAAAGAUGAUAACGAAUAAAGCAGUACCAGUUUGUUGUACUUUUUGGAACACAUUGAUGUCAAAUCCA